GGAACAGAUUUUCUCCUCUGCGGUAGCUUCAUUUUGGGAGCCAUUAGGUCAAGAGAGACUUGAAAGGAGCUUAGGAGACUAAAUGUGAGGUAGAGAAGAAAAGAUUUUCGAAGGAAAAAGACAAGGAUUUGAGGAGUUAAAUCACCGAUUUGGAGAUUCUAGGGCAAGCUCGAACCGCCCCAAAGGAGGAAGGGAGAGGAGAGGAAGUUGGUUCCUUAACGGAUGAUUUGAGGAGUGAAAAUCGAUGGGAGGAGAUAUUUGAGAAAAAUUUUUGGUUUGAGGGAGAAGAGAUGGAGAGCUUUUGGUUCGG
rnacentral:lncRNA from 1 species